UACCUGCAGCUCGAGUGGUAACCGCUAUUAUUGGGCCUAAAGCGUCCGUAGCCGGUUUGGUAAAUAUCUGGGUAAAUCGUGAGGCUUAACUUCACGAAUUUCGGAUAGACUGCCAGACUUGGGAUCGGGGGAGGUCAGAGGUACUCCAGGGGUAGCGGUGAAAUGUUGUAAUCCUUGGAGGACCACCGGUAGCGAAGGCGUCUGACUAGAACGAGUCCGACGGUGAGGGACGAAGCCCCGGGGCGCAAACCGGAUUAGAUACCCGGGUAGUCCAGGGUGUAGACAAUGUGGGCUUUGUAUUGGAGGUUCCACGUGGGCGUCCAGUGCAGAAGAGAAGUUGUUAAGCCCACCGCCUGGGAAGUACGGUCGCAAGGCUGAAACUUAAAGGAAUUGGCGGGGAGCACAGCAACGGGAGGAGCGUGCGGUUU
rnacentral:rRNA from 1 species